GCAUAUCAAUAAGCGGAGGAAAAGAAACUAACAAGGAUUCCCCUAGUAACGGCGAGUGAAGCGGGAAGAGCUCAAAUUUAAAAUCUGGCAGUGUAUUCUGUCCGAGUUGUAGUCUAGAGAAGCAUCAUCCGUGCUGGACCAUGUACAAGUCUCUUGGAACAGAGCGUCAUAGAGGGUGAGAAUCCCGUCCUUGACAUGGACUCCCAGUACUUUGUGUUGUGCUCUCAACGAGUCGAGUUGUUUGGGAAUGCAGCUCAAAAUGGGUGGUAAAUUCCAUCUAAAGCUAAANUAUUGGCGAGAGNACCGAUAGCNGAACAAGUACCGUGAGGGAAAGAUGAAAAGCACUUUGGAGAGAGAGUUAAACAGUACGUGAAAUUGUUGAAAUGGAAACGCUUGAAGUCAGUCGCGUUCUCUGGGACUCAGCCUUGCUUUUGCUUGGUGUAUUUCCUAGUCUACGGGCCAGCAUGAGUUUUGACCAAUGGAAAAAGGCUUGGGGAAUGUGGCACCCUCGGGUGUGUUAUAGCCCCUUGUCACAUACGUUGGUUGGGAUUGAGGUCUUAGUGCACGCUUCGGUUGUGCUUUGAUGCUGGCGUAAUGGCUUUAAACGACCCGUCUUGAAACACGG
rnacentral:rRNA from 1 species